rnacentral:tRNA from 1 species
GCGGGAGUCCCAUAGCGGCAAUUGGGCGAGGUUUAGGACCUCGUGGCUUAGUGCCUUCGGGGGUUCGAGUCCUCCCUCCCGCA